AGGCCAUUGUUGUUCAGCCAAGGAUGACUUGCCGGUAGCUUUGUAUAUUUACUCUAUAUUCGGUUUAUAUUAUGGAGAUUAUGCUUUAUAUAUAUAUAUACAUAGUUUUAAUUGAUUUUUUUUCGUACGUACGUAAUCUAAUACGAAAAAGUAUUUACUUAUUUAUAUGUGUGUUGGUGAGAUGUGUAAACAAAGCAAGCCCGGCAAGUCAUCUCUGGCUAUGCAACUGCCUCU
rnacentral:pre_miRNA from 1 species